rnacentral:misc_RNA from 1 species
UGAAAUGCGAUAAGUAAUGUGACUUGCAUUAUUCUGUGAAUCAUUGAAUUUUUGAACGCACCUUGCACCCUCCACUCUAAGGGAGGGUAUACCUGUCUGAGUAUCGUAUCAAAAAACCCGUUGUUGGGGGAAGUGAGGCCAACACCCGUGUUUGUCUCUAAAGCGAUUUGUUUAAAGCGAGGUAGGAGAACGCAGUUCUUUCCCGCUGACAAGCAGACCAGGACACAGAUCUCAGAUCAGGCAAGACUACCCGCCGAACUUAA